rnacentral:rRNA from 1 species
CAGGCCUAACACAUGCAAGUCGAACGGGCACCUUCGGGUGUCAGUGGCAGACGGGUGAGUAACACGUGGGAACGUGCCCUUCGGUUCGGAAUAACUCAGGGAAACUUGAGCUAAUACCGGAUACGCCCUUACGGGGAAAGGUUUACUGCCGAAGGAUCGGCCCGCGUCUGAUUAGCUAGUUGGUGGGGUAAUGGCCUACCAAGGCGACGAUCAGUAGCUGGUCUGAGAGGAUGAUCAGCCACACUGGGACUGAGACACGGCCCAGACUCCUACGGGAGGCAGCAGUGGGGAAUAUUGGACAAUGGGCGAAAGCCUGAUCCAGCCAUGCCGCGUGAGUGAUGAAGGCCUUAGGGUUGUAAAGCUCUUUCGACGGGGACGAUAAUGACGGUAUCCGUAGAAGAAGCCCCGGCUAUCAUCGUGCCAGCAGCCGCGGUCAU